UCAGAGUUUGAUUGGCUCAGGAUAAACGCUGGCGGCGCACAUAAGACAUGCAAGUCGAACGGACUUAACCAUUAGUUUACUAUUGGAGCGGUUAGUGGCGGACUGGUGAGUAACACGUAAGCAACCUGCCUAUCAGAGGGGAACAACAGUUAGAAAUGACUGCUAAUACCGCAUAUACCCAAGUGUCACAUGGCACAAUGGGGAAAGGAGCAAUCCGCUGAUAGAUGGGCUUGCGUCUGA
rnacentral:rRNA from 1 species